CCCGCUGAACUUAAGCAUAUCAAUAAGCGGAGGGAAAAGAAACCAACAGGGAUUGCCUCAGUAACGGCGAGUGAAGCGGCAACAGCUCAAAUUUGAAAUCUGGCCUAGCCCGAAUUGUAAUUUGCAGAGGAUGCUUUUGGUGCGGUCUUUCCGAGUUCCCUGGAACGGGACGCCAUAGAGGGUGAGAGCCCCGUACGGUUAGAUACCAAUCCUUUGUAAAGCUCCUUCGACGAGUCGAGUAGUUUGGGAAUGCUGCUCUAAAUGGGAGGUAAAUUUCUUCUAAAGCUAAAUACCGGCCAGAGACCGAUAGCGCACAAGUAGAGUGAUCGAAAGAUGAAAAGCACUUUGAAAAGAGGGUUAAAUAGCACGUGAAAUUGUUGAAAGGGAAGCGCUUAUGACCAGACUUUUGCCAUUCGGAUCAUCCGGUGUUCUCACCGGUGCACUUCGUUUGGUUAAGGCCAGCAUCAGUUUUCGUAGGGGGAUAAAGACUUUAGGAAUGUGGCUCCUCGGAGUGUUAUAGCCUAUUGUGUAAUACCUUUAUGGGGACUGAGGUACGCGUUCGCAAGGAUGCUGGCAUAAUGGUCAUCAGCGACCCGUCUUGAAACACGG
rnacentral:rRNA from 1 species